UACAGAGGUCUCAAGCGUUGUUCGGAUUCAUUGGGCGUAAAGGGUGCGUAGGUGGCGCCGUAAGUCAGGUGUGAAAUUUCGGAGCUUAACUCCGAAACUGCAUUUGAUACUGCGGUGCUUGAGGACUGGAGAGGAGACUGGAAUUCACGGUGUAGCAGUGAAAUGCGUAGAUAUCGUGAGGAAGACCAGUGGCGAAGGCGGGUCUCUGGACAUGUAUUGACGCUGAGGUGCGAAAGCGUGGGGAGCAAACAGG
rnacentral:rRNA from 1 species